rnacentral:rRNA from 1 species
AAAGACAGUUAGUUAAUUUUUUUAAGUUUUAUUAAUAUGUAUAAAGAGGUAGAAUUUAAAUAUACAUUCAUGAUUUUAAAAAAACUUUAGUACUGAAGCUGUGAUAGCUCAGAGGGAAACUGGGAUUAGAUACCCCAUUAUUCUUAGCUGUAAAAAAAUGUAAAUUUACCAGAGUACUACGAACCAAAAAAUUUAAAACUCAAAGGGCUUGGCGGUGUUUUAGACUACUUAGGGGAACCUGUCUCGUAAUCGACAAUCCGCGUUAUACCUAACCUUUUUUUGCAUUCAGUUUGUAUACCGUCGUCGCCAGGUAACUUUUAAGAUAUAAACAGUUAGCUAGCUAAAUAUUUAAAUUAAGACGUCAGAUCAAGGUGCAGCUAACAAUAAGGUGUAGAUGGGUUACAAUUACCACAUUUGUAAUAACGGACAACGACUUUAAAAGUACAUUGGAAGGAGGACUUAAAAGUAAAAUAGACUAUAUAAAUAUCUUGAAUAAAGCUCUGAAACGUGUACAAACCGCCCGUCGCUCUCGUUAAAAAAUGAGAUAAGUCGUAACAUAGCAGGGGUAAUGGAAAUUGUCCCUAAACU